rnacentral:rRNA from 1 species
CCUACGGGGAGCAGCAGUGAGGAAUAUUGGUCAAUGGACGAGAGUCUGAACCAGCCAAGUAGCGUGAAGGAUGACUGCCCUAUGGGUUGUAAACUUCUUUUAUAAGGGAAUAAAACGAGGCACGUGUGCCUUUUUGCAUGUACUUUAUGAAUAAGGAUCGGCUAACUCCGUGCCAGCAGCCGCGGUAAUACGGAGGAUCCGAGCGUUAUCCGGAUUUAUUGGGUUUAAAGGGAGCGUAGAUGGGUUGUUAAGUCAGUUGUGAAAGUUUGCGGCUCAACCGUAAAAUUGCAAUUGAUACUGGUAGUCUUGAGUACAGUUGAGGUAGGCGGAAUUCGUGGUGUAGCGGUGAAAUGCUUAGAUAUCACGAAGAACCCCGAUUGCGAAGGCAGCUUACUAAACUGUGACUGACAUUGAUGCUCGAAAGUGUGGGUAUCAAACAGGAUUAGAUACCCCUGUAGUC